GACGAACGCUGGCGGCGUGCCUAAUACAUGCAAGUCGAGCGAAUGAAUGGGAGCUUGCUCCUGUUCGUUAGCGGCGGACGGGUGAGUAACACGUGGGCAACCUGCCUGUAAGACUGGGAUAACUUCGGGAAACCGGAGCUAAUACCGGAUAGUUUCUUUCUUCACAUGAAGAGAGAUGGAAAGACGGUUUACGCUGUCACUUACAGAUGGGCCCGCGGCGCAUUAGCUAGUUGGUGAGGUAACGGCUCACCAAGGCGACGAUGCGUAGCCGACCUGAGAGGGUGAUCGGCCACACUGGGACUGAGACACGGCCCAGACUCCUACGGGAGGCAGCAGUAGGGAAUCUUCCGCAAUGGACGAAAGUCUGACGGAGCAACGCCGCGUGAGUGAAGAAGGUUUUCGGAUCGUAAAACUCUGUUGUCAGGGAAGAACAAGUACCAGAGUAACUGCUGGUACCUUGACGGUACCUGACCAGAAAGCCACGGCUAACUACGUGCCAGCCGCCGCGGUAAUAC
rnacentral:rRNA from 1 species